rfam:Schistosoma haematobium scaffold191_5, whole genome shotgun sequence.
GCACUGCUGAGGAGUCUCAUAUUAGGGCGAAACGGCCGUCCAGUGC